rnacentral:snRNA from 1 species
UGCAUUAUGUUCAGAACGGUAC